GAUGAACGCUAGCGGCAGGCUUAAUACAUGCAAGUCGAGGGGUAGCAAGAUUGUAGCAAUACAAUUGUUGACGACCGGCAAACGGGUGCGGAACACGUACACAACCUUCCUACAAGUGGGGAAUAGCCCAGAGAAAUUUGGAUUAAUACCCCGUAACAUAGCGAUGUGGCAUCACAUUGCUAUUAUAGCUUCGGCGCUUGUUGAUGGGUGUGCGGCUGAUUAGAUAGUUGGCGGGGUAACGGCCCACCAAGUCUACGAGCAGUAGCUGAUGUGAGAGCAUGAUGAGCCACACGGGCACUGGGACACGGGCCCGACUCCUACGGGAGGCAGCAGUAAGGAAUAUUGGACAAUGGACGCAAGUCUGAUCCAGCCAUGCCGCGUGCAGGAUGAAGGCCUUCGGGUUGUAAACUGCUUUUGUACGGAACGAAAAGCCCUGGGUUAAUACCCUGGGGUCAUGACGGUACCGUAAGAAUAAGCACCGGCUAACUACGUGCCAGCCGCCGCGGUAACAC
rnacentral:rRNA from 1 species